rnacentral:rRNA from 1 species
CCUACGGGCGGCAGCAGUGAGGAAUAUUGGUCAAUGGGCGCGAGCCUGAACCAGCCAAGUCGCGUGAAGGAUGACUGCCCUACGGGUUGUAAACUUCUUUUAUAAAGGAAUAAAGUGAGGCACGUGUGCCUUUUUGUAUGUACUUUAUGAAUAAGGAUCGGCUAACUCCGUGCCAGCAGCCGCGGUAAUACGGAGGAUCCGAGCGUUAUCCGGAUUUAUUGGGUUUAAAGGGAGCGUAGAGGGUUUGUUAAGUAGGUGGUGAAAGUUUGCGGCUCAACCGUGAAAAUGCCAUUGAUACUGUCAGCCUUGAGUACAGUUGAGGUAGGCGGAAUGCGUGGUGUAGCGGUGAAAUGCUUAGAUAUCACGAAGAACACCGAUUGCGAAGGCAGCUUACUAAACUGCCACUGACAUUGAUGCUCGAAAGUGUGGGUAGCAAACAGGAUUAGAUACCCCGGUAGUC